rnacentral:rRNA from 1 species
AUGAACGCUGGCGGCGUGCCUAAUACAUGCAAGUAGAACGCUGAAGGAGGAGCUUGCUCUUCUGGAUGAGUUGCGAACGGGUGAGUAACGCGUAGGUAACCUGCCUGGUAGCGGGGGAUAACUAUUGGAAACGAUAGCUAAUACCGCAUGACAACAGUUAUUGCAUGAUAACUGUUUAAAAGGGGCAACUGCUCCACUACCAGAUGGACCUGCGUUGUAUUAGCUAGUUGGUGAGGUAACGGCUCACCAAGGCGACGAUACAUAGCCGACCUGAGAGGGUGAUCGGCCACACUGGGACUGAGACACGGCCCAGACUCCUACGGGAGGCAGCAGUAGGGAAUCUUCGGCAAUGGACGGAAGUCUGACCGAGCAACGCCGCGGGAGUGAAGAAGGGUUUCGGAUCGUAAAGCUCUGUUGUAAGAGAAGAACGAGUGUGAGAGUGGAAAGUUCACACUGUGACGGUAUCUUACCAGAAAGGGACGGCUAACUACGUG